rnacentral:rRNA from 1 species
GAUCAGUGGCUCAGGACGAACGCUGGCGGCGUGCCUAACACAUGCAAGUCGAGCGGAGACAAUGGAGCAGCUUGCUGCGAAUUGUUUAGCGGCGGACGGGUGAGUAACGCGUGAGCAACCUUUCUCUCAGUGGGGAAUAACACCGGGAAACUGGUACUAAUACCGCAUGAGACCACAACAGGGCAUCCUGAAGGGGUCAAAGAAUAAUCGCUGAGAGGUGGGCUCGCGUCUGAUUAGAUAGUUGGUGGGGUAACGGCCUACCAAGUCGACGAUCAGUAGCCGACCUGAGAGGGUGAUCGGCCACAUUGGGACUGAGACACGGCCCAAACUCCUACGGGAGGCAGCAGUGGGGAAUAUUGGGCAAUGGGGGAACCCUGACCCAGCAACGCCGCGUGGAGGAAGAAGGUUUUCGGAUCGUAAACUCCUGUCCUCAGGGAAGAGCAAGAGACGGUACCUGAGGAGGAAGCCCCGGCUAACUACGUG